UACAGAGGGGGCAAGCGUUGUUCGGAAUUACUGGGCGUAAAGGGCGCGUAGGCGGCCUGCUAAGUCGAACGUGAAAUCCCUGGGCUCAACCCAGGAACUGCGUCCGAUACUGGCAGGCUUGAAUCCGGGAGAGGGAUGCGGAAUUCCGGGUGUAGCGGUGGAAUGCGUAGAGAUCCGGAAGAACACCGGUGGCGAAGGCGGUCUGCUGGGCAGUUGCUGGCACUGAGGCGCGACAGCGUGGGGAGCAAACAGG
rnacentral:rRNA from 1 species